rnacentral:rRNA from 1 species
CCUACGGGAGGCAGCAGUGGGGAAUCUUGCGCAAUGGGCGAAAGCCUGACGCAGCCAUGCCGCGUGGAUGAUGAAGGUCUUAGGAUUGUAAAAUCCUUUCACCGGUGAAGAUAAUGACUGUAGCCGGAGAAGAAGCCCCGGUUAACUUCGUGCCAGCAGCCGCGGUAAUACGAAGGGGGCUAGCGUUGCUCGGAAUUACUGGGCGUAAAGGGAGCGUAGGCGGACGUUUAAGUCAGGGGUGAAAUCCCAGAGCUCAACUCUGGAACUGCCUUUGAUACUGGGUGUCUUGAGUGUGAUAGAGGUAUGUGGAACUCCGAGUGUAGAGGCGAAAUUCGUAGAUAUUCGGAAGAACACCAGUGGCGAAGGCGACAUACUGGAUCAUUACUGACGCUGAGGCUCGAAAGCGUGGGGAGCAAACAGGAUUAGAUACCCUGGUAGUCCACGCCGUAAACGAUGAUUGCUAGUUGUCGGGUUGUUUACAACUCGGUGACGCAGCUAACGCAUUAAGCAAUCCGCCUGGGGAGUACGGUCGCAAGAUUAAAACUCAAAGGAAUUGACGG